rnacentral:rRNA from 1 species
UACGAAGGGGGCUAGCGUUGUUCGGAAUCACUGGGCGUAAAGCGCACGCAGGCGGAUUGAUAAGUCAGGGGUGAAAUCCCGGAGCUCAACUUCGGAAUUGCCUUUGAUACUGUCUGUCUUCGAGUUCGGGAGAGGUUGGCGGAAUUCCUAGUGUAGAGGUGAAAUUCGUAGAUAUUAGGAAGAACACCAGUGGCGAAGGCGGCCAACUGGCCCGAUACUGACGCUCAUGUGCGAAAGCGUGGGGAGCAAACAGGG